GGGGCCGACUUGGCUUCGACGUGGGUCGCAAAGCAAUUGAGUGCAUACCGAGGUCCAGUUACCUCGUAAAUCAGCUGGAAACAAACUAAACGCCAACGACAAGCGUUUCGCACUCGCCGCUUAAUCCCGGUGGGCGCUGCCCCGACAGGUUCCUGGGUCGGAUGAUGGGGUGAAAAUCCCGUCUUGCAGUGUCAUUUACAGGAACUCGUGGAUGCGUCGGGUUACUUGGCGCAUCUCCUAAAACCAAGGUAACUCGUUGCGGGACGGCCCGUCCGUCGGCCAACCCCCGUGAUUAAAUCCAAAUAGACGGGACAAGUAUGUAGAGCUCAUUGUGGAGGGCUUGCGGACGGGGGUUCGAUUCCCCCCGGCUCCACCA
rnacentral:tmRNA from 1 species